CCGGGUAUCGAUCCCUGUUGUGCCGAGGCUAACGCAUUUAGCAUUCCGCCUGGGGAGUACGGUCGCAAGGCUGAAACUCAAAGGGAUUGACGGGGGCCCGCACAAGCGGUGGAGCAUGUGGUUCAAUUCGACGCAACGCGAAGGACUUUACCCAGGCUCGAACGGCAAGUGACAUCCGGCGAAAGCCGGCUCCCGCAAGGGCAGUUGCCGAGGUGCUGCAUGGCUGUCGUCAGCUCGUGUCGUGAGAUGUUGGGUUAAGUCCCGCAACGAGCGCAACCCUUGUCCGCUGUUGCCAUCAGGUUAAGCUGGGCACUCUGCGGAGACUGCCGGUGAUAAACCGGAGGAAGGUGGGGAUGACGUCAAGUCAGCAUGGCCUUUAUGUCUGGGGCUACACACGUGCUACAAUGGCAGAUACAAACCGUCGCGAGACCGCAAGGUGGAGCUAAUCGGAGAAAGUCUGUCUCAGUUCGGAUUGCAGGCUGCAACUCGCCUGCAUGAAGUUGGAAUCGCUAGUAAUCGCGGAUCAGCACGCCGCGGUGAAUACGUUCCCGGGCCUUGUACACACCGCCCGUCACAUCACGAAAGCUGGCUGUACUAGAAGUCGCCGCGCUAACCCGCAAGGGAGGCAAGCGCCUAAGGUAUGGUUAGUGAUUGGGGUGAAGUCGUAACAAGGUA
rnacentral:rRNA from 1 species